AACGGACUUCCUUCUGCGACAGCAAAAGACGCAGCUGAGAACCAGGCAGCAGCAGACGACGGCCAGACCCACAGCCAGCAGGAUCUGCAGCAGUCACUCGAGGGACUCGUGCCAAGGCAGAAUGUUGUUGUCCCCCCAGCAAACUGCCAUGGAAUGAUGUGACGUUGUGAUGAACAUGUCUAUGCCAGAGGAAAAGUUAUUGAAUUUACAUAAAUUUCUCUCUAAAUGUUUGAAAAAGUGACUUGUCGUGCUCUUUUGUUCAUAUGAUAAUGCUAAAUGUAGCAAAACUGUGCAGGAUUUUAGAACAUGCGACAUUUUACAAACGGCGCCCCAUACAUGUCAUAACAAGAUUGGAAAUAUUUGGGAUUCACGAUAAUACGAUAUUGUUUUAGGAGUUUUAGAAAUUUUAGGUGUUUUCAGAAAAUAUGCUUAAAACUUGCCCUAAAAUGGCACCAAAAUGUACUGGAAUCACUUCACUGCUUCCAACAAGCAGUUCAGUUGCUUGUUGGACAUAUGUAAGAACAUAUGUAUACAAAAAAAGGAAGUCGGAUGUUUUAAACAUUGAGGACAUAUACAGUGGACUGUUACAAGUCCUGUCUGCACAAUGCAGCCUUUAUUCUUUGUUGAACGUCAGUUACCAUCCAGACAAUGUCACCAUGUGUGUGUGUGUGUGUGUGUGUGUGUAAAAUUGACAUAUUUAAACUAAAAUAUAAAUACUAACAUUUCAAAAAGACUAGGGCUGUCAAUAGAUUAAAAAAGAUGAACUAAUUAGUUUGCCACUCAUCUCCCUUCUGUUUGAUACGUGGAGGAAUUUCUAAUAAAGACUUUCCAGCUAUUGCAGAAUAUGCUGUUUUACUUCAGGUGGUUUACACCUGUGAAACAAGCAAGCAAAAUACAUACUUUAAAUUUCUCAUAGUUCUCCAACUAAGUGUCGUCACACUCGUUUUCUAUAUGGACAUCCUCGGCCUGAAUGCUUCUAAGCUUCUUAUGACUCCCAGGAAUGACUCAGAUACCCAUUUUAACACACACAGGAAGAUAAAUACAGCAUCUUACGAGAAAUAUGACAUAAUAUUCCAUUUGGCAAACAGAGGAACAGUUCAUGAACCAUGGUUCAUGGACUCGGUUAUGCUAUAAAUAUGGUGACCCGAGGCCAAAGGGGCUCGUAACGGAAGUCUUAUGUCGCUCCCGAUUAAAGUAUUAAAACACCCCGGGUCCCAUUUCUCUGCCUUUGUGUGGGUGGACAAAUAUCCUCCGAUGUGCAAACGCAAGAAUGAGCUCCCCAUUAAAUACACACAUAUUAGCAUUAUCCCUCAGUGUGUCGAUAACCCCGCAAACUCUUCAAGAGUAACUUCAUACUGGGACACUCUCAGAAUAACCCGACCACACAUGGUCAUCAUGUAUGUGGGGUUGUGUGCACAUGUAGACAUUUACCACAGAGCUGGUUAUAGCUAUAUAGCUGUAUGAAUGUCCUUGACAAAAGGAGUAUUUUGUGGAAAAAUGUUUCUAGUUAUAAUCAUCGGGAAAUGAAGAGGAUUCAGGGAUGUUGUACUGCCUUGUUGGUGUCUUUCUGGAAAGAGCUUGUUUUAGCUGAGUAUGUGCGACUUAAUAAUAAUAAAUAAAUCUCUGGGAAUCGACA